rnacentral:rRNA from 1 species
AAGCGCUUGCAAUCAGACUUGCUGCGGUUGAUCAACGUUCCUUCUGGUUCGUGCACUCUGCCGUUUGCAGGCCAGCAUCGGUUCGGACGGUGGGACAAAGGUCGCGGGAAUGUGGCUCUCUUCGGGGAGUGUUAUAGCCCGCUUCGUCAUGCCACCUGACCGGACCGAGGACCGCGCUUUUGCUAGGAUGCUGGCUUAAUGAUUGUAAGCGA